AAGAUUAAGCCAUGCAUGUCUAAGUACAAACUAUUAAAUAAAGUGAAACCGCGAAAGGCUCAUUAAAUCAGUUAUGGUUCCUUAGAUCGUACCACAAUUACUUGGAUAACUGUGGUAAUUCUAGAGCUAAUACAUGCAAACAGAGCUCUGACCGGAGACGGAAGGAGUGCUUUUAUUAGAUCAAAACCAAUCGGCGGCGAUAGCAUUUAUUUGUUAUCGUUCGUCGCUCAAUAAAUGGUGAAUCUGAAUAACUUUAUGCUGAUCGCAGGGUCUUGUACCGGCGACGCAUCUUUCAAAUGUCUGCCUUAUCAACUGUCGAUGGUAGGAUCUGCGCCUACCAUGGUUGUAACGGGUAACGGGGAAUCAGGGUUCGAUUCCGGAGAGGGAGCCUGAGAAACGGCUACCACAUCCAAGGAAGGCAGCAGGCGCGCAAAUUACCCACUCCCGGCACGGGGAGGUAGUGACGAAAAAUAACGAUACGGGACUCAUCCGAGGCCCCGUAAUCGGAAUGAGUACACUUUAAAUCCUUUAACGAGGACCAAUUGGAGGGCAAGUCUGGUGCCAGCAGCCGCGGUAAUUCCAGCUCCAAUAGCGUAUAUUAAAGUUGUUGCGGUUAAAAAGCUCGUAGUUGAACUUGUGUCCCGCACUGUCGGUUCACCGCCCGCGGUGCUAACUGGCAUGUUUGCGGGACGUCCUGCCGGUGGGUGUUCAGUAGUCAAUUGGCUUUCGGGUCUUUUGUACUAUUUCAUCCGACUUAUUAAAUCCUAUCGCGGUGCUCUUAACUGAGUGUCGAGGUGGGCCGGCACGUUUACUUUGAACAAAUUAGAGUGCUCAAAGCAGGCUAAUUAAUGCCUGAAUAAUUAGUGCAUGGAAUAAUGGAACAGGACCUUGGUUCUAUUUUGUUGGUUUUCGGAACCCCAAGGUAAUGAUUAAUAGGGACGGAUGGGGGCAUUCGUAUUGCGACGUUAGAGGUGAAAUUCUUGGAUCGUCGCAAGACGGACUAAAGCGAAAGCAUUUGCCAAAGAUGUUUUCAUUAAUCAAGAACGAAAGUCAGAGGUUCGAAGGCGAUCAGAUACCGCCCUAGUUCUGACCAUAAACGAUGCCAGCUAGCGAUCCGUCAAAGUUCCUCCGAUGACUUGGCGGGCAGCUUCCGGGAAACCAAAGCUUUUGGGUUCCGGGGGAAGUAUGGUUGCAAAGCUGAAACUUAAAGGAAUUGACGGAAGGGCACCACCAGGAGUGGAGCCUGCGGCUUAAUUUGACUCAACACGGGAAACCUCACCAGGCCCAGACACUGGAAGGAUUGACAGAUUGAGAGCUCUUUCUUGAUUCAGUGGGUGGUGGUGCAUGGCCGUUCUUAGUUGGUGGAGUGAUUUGUCUGGUUAAUUCCGAUAACGAACGAGACUCUAGCCUACUAAAUAGACGUUACACUUUCCAGUAUCUCGAAGGCUCACAUCUCUCGUUUCUUUACUGCACAUCGCCUAUCAUUUCGGUGAUUGGUUGUUGUGUGGUGGGCGGGAGUUUGUGGUUUUUACUACUGGCGUACAUAUAAUUCUUYUUAGAGGGACAGGCGGCUUCUAGCCGCACGAGAUUGAGCAAUAACAGGUCUGUGAUGCCCUUAGAUGUUYUGGGCCGCACGCGCGCUACACUGAAGGAAUCAACGUGUCCUCCCUGGCCGCAAGGUCCGGGUAACCCGCUGAACCUCCUUCGUGCUAGGGAUUGGGGCUUGCAAUUAUUCCCCAUGAACGAGGAAUUCCCAGUAAGCGCGAGUCAUAAGCUCGUGUUGAUUACGUCCCUGCCCUUUGUACACACCGCCCGUCGCUACUACCGAUUGAAUGAUUUAGUGAGGUYUUCGGACUGGUACGCGGUGAUGUUUCGACAUUACCGAUGUCGCUGGGAAGAUGACCAAACUUGA
rnacentral:rRNA from 1 species